CAGCCGCCACGGGAAUACGAAGGGGGCUAGCGUUGUUCGGAAUCACUGGGCGUAAAGCGCACGUAGGCGGACUUUUAAGUCAGGGGUGAAAUCCCAAGGCUCAACCUUGGAACUGCCUUUGAUACUGGAAGUCUUGAGUUCGGGAGAGGUGAGUGGAACUGCGAGUGUAGAGGUGAAAUUCGUAGAUAUUCGCAAGAACACCAGUGGCGAAGGCGGCUCACUGGCCCGAUACUGACGCUGAGGUGCGAAAGCGCGGGGAGCAAACAGGAUUAGAUACCCCCGUAGUCCCUGUCUCUUAUAC
rnacentral:rRNA from 1 species